rnacentral:rRNA from 1 species
AACGAACGCUGGCGGCAUGCCUAACACAUGCAAGUCGAACGAAGUCUUCGGACUUAGUGGCGCACGGGUGCGUAACGCGUGGGAAUCUGCCCUUGGGUACGGAAUAACUCAGAGAAAUUUGUGCUAAUACCGUAUAAUGUCUUCGGACCAAAGAUUUAUCGCCCAAGGAUGAGCCCGCGUAAGAUUAGCUAGUUGGUGGGGUAAAAGCCUACCAAGGCGAGGAUCUUUAGCUGGUCUGAGAGGAUGAUCAGCCACACUGGGACUGAGACACGGCCCAGACUCCUACGGGAGGCAGCAGUGGGGAAUAUUGGACAAGGGGCGAAAGCCUGAUCCAGCAAUGCCGCGUGAGUGAUGAAGGCCCUAGGGUUGUAAAGCUCUUUUACCAGGGAUGAUAAUGACAGUACCUGGAGAAUAAGCUCCGGCUAACUCCGUG